CGUGAGAAUGGAAUCGAAGUUAUGGACAAGAAUGGCAAGGUCAUAGGAGUGUCACAAAAAGCUGGGAAUAAGGCAGUACAAGACACAGCUUUAUCAAGAGCAGCCUUGUUUGGGGCAGCAGUAAUUAUUCCGGAUUCUCUUCUCAACUUCGUGCAACGGUGAAAAGAGUAGAGAUCCCUUGGGGUUUUCUACCUCUUUCUUUUAUAGUCCAG
rnacentral:lncRNA from 1 species